rnacentral:misc_RNA from 1 species
GCAGCGUAAGAUGUGUAUAAGAGACAGGUGAGUCAUCGAAUCUUUGAACGCACAUUGCGCCCCUUGGUAUUCCAUGGGGCAUGCCUGUUCGAGCGUCAUUUGUACCUUCAAGCUUUGCUUGGUGUUGGGUGUUUGUCCUGAGGGACUCGCCUUAAAGUAAUUGGCAGCCAGUGUUUGGUUUUGAAGCGCAGCACAAGUCGCGAUUCAAAGCUAUACGCCCGCUUCCACAAGCCUUUUUCACUUUUGACCUCGGAUCAGGUAGGGAUACCCGCUGAACUUAAGCAUAUCAAUAAGCGGAGG